rnacentral:sRNA from 1 species
CUAUGGCAAAGUGAGUGUUGAGGCAAUUGGCGAUGUUGA